rnacentral:lncRNA from 1 species
GCGUCGAUGUUCACGAGAUUUAGAAGUGCUCUUUGGCUAUGUUCUUUCCUUUUGCCAUUGCUCUCUCUCUCUCUCUCUUUUCAUUUCUCUACUCAAAUGGAGGCUAGGAUUUUUUUUUUAUGGGUUUGAAAAGACAACUUUUAUACGAGGUUCUUGGUAACUCUGGGCUAUUGAAUCUCAAGAUUAAUUUUUAACCGUCCGAUUUUUAGGAUGUUACAAUUCUCCCUUCUUAAAUAAAAUUUGGUCCUCCAAAUUUACAUUUACUAAGGAUUUGAAAAAUAAAUAUCUUUAUCUACUUUCAAAUGGCAUCUUCAAUAGAAUGUUAUUAUAUAACAUUUUUGCUAGUGUGACCACUAACUAUAUACUCUUAAAUUAUUCUAACAUCUUCAUAAGCUUCCUUUUUUUUUCCUUUCAAGGAUGCCGUCGGAUUAGCACCAGAUCUUUCUGCAAGUGAUGACAUUGCUGGGUUAGAGGACUUUCCUACCAUGAUAUCAAAGGUUCCUACGGGUUUGGUAUACGUGACUAGCUUAGGAAAUAAGUAUUUGAUUUUAUGAAGUGAUUCCUUCCUUUCUUUAUCUUAAGAAAAAUUAAGUGAUUCCUUUCUCUUUGCAUCCCUAAGUCCUAUUUGGUUCAUGUCUGCUUUUAGGAGUUUAAUUGAAAGGCUAGGUAAGGUUUGGGUGUACGUUCCUAAAUUAGCGGGCUCUAUCUGAAUUUUCUAACGAGUCUUAAUACUCACUCCAGUUGGUAGGAGUGUGAGGGUUUGAGCUCUCUCUCCGACAGCAUGUUAGACCUUACACUAGAUAUGUAACAUUCUCUUUUUCUUUUGUGAAAUCACUUUACAUCGUGGUAGCUUCUUUCCUAAGAAUGUGUUUGUUUUGGUGUGUGCCUCUUAAUUCCAAAGAUUUUAAUAAGUUGGGAUUCGGUG